GUAACAUGGAUUGCUUGCAAUCUGAUGACGAGUGGCGCACGGGUGCGUAACGCGUAUGCAAUCUACCUUUUACAGGAGAAUAGCCCAGAGAAAUUUGGAAUAAUGCUCCAUAAUAUCAUUUACCAGCAUUGGUUUAUGAUUAAAGCUCCGGCGGUAAAAGAUGAGCAUGCGUUCUAUUAGCUAGUAGGUGAGGUAACGGCUCACCUAGGCUACGAUAGAUAGGGGCCCUGAGAGGGGGAUCCCCCACACUGGUACUGAGACACGGACCAGACUCCUACGGGAGGCAGCAGUGAGGAAUAUUGGACAAUGGAGGAAACUCUGAUCCAGCCAUGCCGCGUGCAGGAUGACUGCCCUAUGGGUUGUAAACUGCUUUUAUAUAGGAAGAAACACUCCCACGUGUGGGGGCUUGACGGUACUAUAUGAAUAAGGAUCGGCUAACUCCGUGCCAGCAGCCGCGGUAAUACGGAGGAUCCAAGCGUUAUCCGGAAUCAUUGGGUUUAAAGGGUCCGCAGGCGGCCUGUUAAGUCAGAGGUGAAAUCCUACAGCUCAACUGUAGAACUGCCUUUGAUACUGAUAGGCUUGAGUUAUUGUGAAGUGGUUAGAAUGUGUGGUGUAGCGGUGAAAUGCUUAGAUAUCACACAGAAUACCCAUUGCGAAGGCAGAUCACUAACAAUAUACUGACGCUCAUGGACGAAAGCGUGGGGAGCGAACGGGAUUAGAUACCCCGAUAGUCCACGCCGUAAACGAUGGAUACUAACUGUUCGACC
rnacentral:rRNA from 1 species